AACGAACGCUGGCGGCGUGCCUAACACAUGCAAGUCGAACGAGAAAGGGGCUUCGGCUCCGAGUAAAGUGGCGCACGGGUGAGUAACACGUGGGUAACCUGCCUCUAAGAUUGGGAUAACUCGUCGAAAGAUGAGCUAAUACCGGAUAAGACCACAGUUCCCGCGGGAACAGGGGUCAAAGGUAGCCUCUGCUUGCAAGCUAUCACUUAGAGAUGGGCCUGCGCACCAUUAGCUAGUUGGUAGGGUAACGGCCUACCAAGGCAAAGAUGGUUAGCGGGUCUGAGAGGAUGAUCAGCCACACUGGAACUGAACCACGGUCCAGACUCCUACGGGAGGCAGCAGUGGGGAAUAUUGCGCAAUGGGCGAAAGCUUGACGCAGCAACGCCGCGUGAGUGAUGAAGGCCUUCGGGUCGUAAAGCUCUGUCGGGAGGAACGAAUGCUCCCAAGGUUAACAGCCUCGGGAGGUGACGGUACCUUCAAAGGAAGCACCGGCUAACUCUGUGCCAGCCGCCGCCGUAACAC
rnacentral:rRNA from 1 species